GAUUCACGUUGUAAUGUUGGUUCCCCAGCUGUGAGCCCUAAAGGUGAGAGGUCAAUGAAGAAGCAACAGGUAUGCAUGGGCACAGCAUAGGCAAAACCAGAGAUGGUCAGAUACUGGAGUCAAGCUUAAACUCCUAUCGACAGCCACAUUCUGUCUUCCUGGCUAGAGAGGGGUUCGAUCCUUCAUCUGGAUUAUCUAUUGGAAAUGAAAGAUGAAAUAGAGAAGGUUUCAGGCAAUGAUCUUUAAUUUUGGUUGUUACAUGAUGCCUGCCCUUAAUGGCUGCCCACAUUUUUCUUUUCUAUGUAAUUUCUAAGAAUAUGUUCUCAAGCAGGUUAAAGAACCCAUUAAUGUUAGAUGCCGCAGAUAAUUAGGUUCAAGGAAAGCUGUUCAUUUAUAGUGAUUACCUUUAGAUUUGCCAUAGAUGCUUGAGAUCACUGAUCUAAAAGUGGACAUGCAUUGUGAAUGGGCACGGGAUUGGUUAAGAUAUGUACAAUAGACCUCUCAUUGCUUGCAUCUGUUGGACUUUUGGUUAUUCAAAGGUACCUUGCCAUGGUUAGCAUGGGUAAGGAAUGCUUCCAUUGAUGAUGCAUUGUAAUUUGUC
rnacentral:misc_RNA from 1 species